AUGGUGUCCCGCGCUGGGUUCGCCUCCCUCCUCGGCGCCUCCUUCCUCCUGCUCCUCCUGCGCGGCGCCGAGCCGCUCGGGUUCAGCCACCGCCCGAUGACCGCCGGCGACGAGCUCUCGGCCGCCCCGAGCAGAUACCUGACGCGGGAGGAGCGCUGGAUGAGCCAGCGCCUCGACCACUUCUCCCCCACCGACCACCGCCAAUUCAAUCAGCGCUACUUCGAGUUCCUGGACUACCACGACGACCCCACCGGCCCGGUGUUCCUGCGCAUCUGCGGCGAGUCCUCCUGCGACGGCCUCCCCAACGACUACCUCGCCGUCAUCGCCAAGAAGUUCGGCGCCGCGGUGGUGACGCCGGAGCACCGGUACUACGGCAAGAGCUCCCCGUUCGACAGCCUCACCACCGACAACCUCAGGUUCCUGUCGUCCAAGCAGGCGCUCUUCGACCUCGCCGUCUUCCGCCAGUAUUACCAGGAAAAACUGAAUUCUCAGUACAACCGGAGCGCGGGGUUCGACAAUCCGUGGUUUGUCUUCGGGGUCUCCUACUCCGGGGCUCUCAGCGCCUGGUUCAGGCUCAAGUUCCCUCACCUGACAUGCGGAAGCCUCGCGAGCUCCGGGGUGGUUCUUGCUGUGUACAACUUCACUGAUUUCGACAAGCAGGUUGGAGAGUCGGCUGGCCCUCAGUGCAAAGCCGCCCUUCAGGAAAUAACUAGACUUGUCGACGAACAGCUUCGGUUGGAUAGCCACUCUGUGAAGGCCUUGUUCGGAGCAGAUUCGUUGAAAAAUGACGGCGACUUCCUCUUUCUUCUGGCAGAUGCAGCAGCCACAACAUUCCAGUAUGGGAAUCCUGAUGCCUUGUGCUCUCCUCUAGCUAAUGCGAAGAAAAAGGGGGAAAGUUUGGUGGAAACAUAUGCUCACUUUGUGAAAGAUUACUUCAUUAAAAAAUUGGGGACUACAGUGUCUUCUUAUGAUCAAGAGUAUUUGAAGGAAACAACUCCCGAUGAUUCUAGUUCUAGACUUUGGUGGUUCCAAGUUUGCAGUGAAGUUGCCUAUUUUCAAGUCGCACCCAAAAAUGAUAGUGUUCGUUCUGCGCAGCUUAAUACAAGGUACAAUUUGGACCUGUGUAAAAAUGUUUAUGGAGAAGGAGUUUAUCCUGAUGUGUUCAUGACAAACUUAUAUUAUGGAGGCACAAGUAUUGCUGCUUCUAAAAUUGUGUUUACAAAUGGCUCUCAAGAUCCAUGGCGUCAUGCCUCCAAACAGAAUUCAUCGGAAGACAUGCCAUCAUACAUAAUCAAAUGUAGCAACUGCGGACAUGGCACUGAUUUGAGAGGAUGUCCCCAGCUUCCUUUCAGGAUUGAAGGUGACUCUUCAAACUGCACGUCCCCAGAAGCUGUGAACACAGUAAGGAAGCAGAUCGUCAAGCACAUCGACCUGUGGCUAUCACAAUGCCAUGAACCAACAAGGGCGUGGUGA
rnacentral:rRNA from 1 species